UCGUGGGCGAGCUGUCCAACGUCAAGCUCUUCUCUCGCCAGCUGACGCACCGGGACCUGUCGACGGUCUACUUCUGUCUCAACGUGUUCGGCGAUCUGGCCGAUACACAGUGGUCAACGG
rnacentral:SRP_RNA from 1 species